GUUUAGUAGUGUUGUUGCAGGCUUGCAAGUACAACAGGACAUCACCAUAACACUCUAAGCACCGGAUGCCAGUGUCGUACUGCAGCCACAAAAUGUCCAUCGUUGGAGCCCGUACAGGUUCGAUUGUCCGUCACGAGAAGCCGAUCUCUUUGUCGUCUUCAACGAAGUAUUCGCCUACAGCUAAGGAAAGUGGAUCAGAUAAUUAGUUUUAGACAGGAAAAAACAGCGAAGCAAGAGAUAAUCUCUUUCGUUCAUUAUCGAGCUUGUGUUGCUGCCGUGGAUCCACACAGCUGCUGGCCAUGUACGCUAUACAUU